rnacentral:rRNA from 1 species
AACGCGUAUGCAACCUACCUUAAUCAGGGGGAUAGCCCGAAGAAAUUCGGAUUAACACCGCAUAAAAUCACAGUACAGCAUUGUACAAUGAUCAAAUAUUUAUAGGAUUAAGAUGGGCAUGCGUGUCAUUAGUUAGUUGGCGAGGUAACGGCUCACCAAGACCACGAUGACUAGGGGAUCUGAGAGGAUGACCCCCCACACUGGUACUGAGACACGGACCAGACUCCUACGGGAGGCAGCAGUAAGGAAUAUUGGUCAAUGGAGGCAACUCUGAACCAGCCAUGCCGCGUGCAGGAAGACAGCCCUCUGGGUCGUAAACUGCUUUUAUUCGGGAAUAAACCUACUUACGUGUAAGGAGCUGAAUGUACCGAAGGAAUAAGGAUCGGCUAACUCCGUGCCAGCAGCCGCGGUAAUACGGAGGAUCCAAGCGUUAUCCGGAUUUAUUGGGUUUAAAGGGUGCGUAGGCGGCUUAUUAAGUCAGGGGUGAAAGACGGUGGCUCAACCAUCGCAGUGCCCUUGAUACUGAUGAGCUUGAAUACACUAGAGGUAGGCGGAAUGUGACAAGUAGCGGUGAAAUGCAUAGAUAUGUCACAGAACACCGAUUGCGAAGGCAGCUUACUAUGGUGUCAUUGACGCUGAGGCACGAAAGCGUGGGGAUCAAACAGGAUUAGAUACCCUGGUAGUCCACGCCCUAAACGAUGAAUACUCGCUGUUAG